UACAGAGGGUGCAAGUGUUGUUCGGAAUUAUUGGGCGUAAAGGGUGCGUAGGCGGUAUGGUAAGUCGGGUGUGAAAGCCCUGGGCUUAACCCAGGAAUUGCAUUCGAAACUGCCAUGCUAGAGUGCGAAAGAGGAGAGCGGAAUUCCCGGUGUAGAGGUGAAAUUCGUAGAUAUCGGGAGGAACACCAGUGGCGUAAGCGGCUCUCUGGGUCGACACUGACGCUCAGUGCACGAAAGCGUGGGGAGCAAACAGG
rnacentral:rRNA from 1 species